CAGAAGGAUCUGGAUGAGUCUGGCAUGUAGAAAACUGCACAAAUAGUUCUAAAUCAGGCAGAAAAAUUUCAAGUGAGAAGACACAUCUUAAAUUAGAAAUUAGGAAACAGAGUCAGAAAUAUGAAGUGUGGUGUGAAGAACACAGGGGGCUAUGGAUAGGUCUUUAGUGAGUAGAGAGUUCUGACAUGGACCCAGGAUCUUCA